rnacentral:lncRNA from 1 species
AAACCCGGGAGGCGGAGCUUGCAGUGAGCUGAGAUCCGGCCACUGCACUCCGGCCCGGGCGACAGAGCGAGACUCCGUCUCAAAAACAAAAACAAACAAAAAAAACAAAUAACAUACACACAGUGCCUCAGUAUUUUCCAUGCCCCGACCUCAAAUGCCAUGUACAUAAGCUUGAAUAUGUUGCCGUGCGCCCCUCCAUAUCUCCUGCUUUUUAAAUAAAGCCUGCGGGUCAUCCAAUGCAAGCUCACCUCUGGACCCAGCCUUGCCUCCACGACUCCCUCCAACCUCCCUAAACUCAACGAGCAGCCCUCGCAGAGGCUCAAACUCUCCUCCAAGCCCCACCCCAUCAUCGUCCAUCCGCAGACCCUGGGCCUCCACGACAAAGCCCGGCCUCACAGUCAGCACUGACAGCCCUUCGAGGACCCCCUCUGGAGAAGGAGAACCAUUCAGGUCCCAACCGUCUGGUUGGUCAUUAGUUCUGUGGUGAAGCUUGAAAAGCAAAUCAGCAACAAUAGUAAUAAUAAUAACACUUUUGUAUGGCGCGUUGUGCUCAUUUGUACGCAUGUGUUAUAACGAUCGCGG